GUAUAGCCCUUUCCGAUAACUAGGUUAUCUUUCCUGAAAUUUGGAACUCUCCUGUGAAAGGAGAUAGUGGUAAAAGUACUUCCGGUAGGUACCCGGCAAAUUGAAACGUAACUGGUUGCACGGCAGAUAAAGUCAGAAUAUAGCGAGAUAUAGUCAUGGGAAAACUAUAUUGUUGUGCUACAAAUUGUCAUAACUAUAGUGGCAAAAGCGUAAAUGGCAAUACUGUGACUUUACAUAGGUUUCCUGUACACAGAAGACACAAAUCUAUAUGGCAAUGCCGUGUCAGUCGCAAACAAUGGAAGCCAACAAGUUGUUCCAGACUUUGUUCAGAGCAUUUCAUAACCAAGAGAGGUCCAACAAAAGAUCAUCCAUUGCCUUCAAUAUUUGACCACAAGAUAUUUAAGACAACAAACUUUGAUUCAUCUUUUAAAGAAUUUGAAGAAAACAAGGAUUGUACUGAAUAUGAAGCAGAUCAUGAUAUCAUUUGUGAUGGAAACGAAGAGGCAAAUAAUGACCUAGCUGAUGACCCAAGUAAACAUUUUUUCACUGUUGACAAUCCUUCUACUAUAAAUACUUCUGUCAUGUUGAACGAUUACUGUGGUUAUAUUGAUCCGUCACAUAUCAGCUCUAAACUUAAUCAGGAAACACAAUGCGAAAAUACAUGUACUGGUAUUUUAAAUGACACUAGUUCACAGACUGAUACUUUAACAACAGAAAAAGAAAACAAACCUUAUAUACUGUAUUCCCUAUCACGGAUGCUGAAGUUAACACUACACUGCCAUUUUUAGCUAUUGAAGAUCUCAGUAGUGAGGAAGUAACAUUUUAUACAGGUUUACCUUAUAAGCCGACAUUUUAUUUAUUGUAUGAACAUAUAAUGUCAAAUAGAAAAACUGUUGACCCAGAAACUGGAGGUAGACCUCAAAAACUUAGAGGUGUAGAUGAAUUUUUUAUGGUUCUUAUGAGAUUGCGUCUGGGUUUACUUACUCAGGAUUUGGCACGCCGUUUUAAUGUUUCAGUUUCAACUUGUAGUAAAAUAUUUAACAAAUGGAUUGACCUGAUGUAUGAACAUUUAAAUUUCCUUGUUGCCUGGCCUGAUAGAGAAACUGUCAAAUGUAAUAUGCCUGACAGUUUUAAAAGGAGGUAUCCAAAUUGUCGUGUAAUUGUAGAUUGUACUGAAAUAUUCACAGAAACGCCACAGUCAUUAUCUAAUAAAGGAAGAAUGUAUUCUGACUACAAGUCACAUAUGACAUGGAAAGUUUUAAUAGGAAUAAGCCCGAAUGGUGUGAUUACUCAUGUAUCUGACCUUUGGUCAGGUAGUAUAUCAGAUAAACAAAUAACAAAAUCUAGUGGUCUUAUUGACAAGUGUGAACCAGGUGAUGCAAUAAUGGGGGAUAAAGGAUUUCUUAUUUCUGACAUGUGUACUCCGAAAGGAAUUUAUCUCAUAGUACCACCAACCAAAAAAAAUGGCAAAUUGACAAAACAUGAAGUUGAAAAAACAAGGAGGAUAGCUAAUCUUAGAAUACAUGUGGAGCGUGCCAUGGAAAGAAUUAAAAACUUUCGUAUUAUACAAGGAGUUAUGCCAAUUUCUAUGUCAGAAAAAGUAUCAAAGAUUGUAUUUAUUGUUUGUGCUCUUUGCAAUUUGCUUCCACCUCUUAUUCAACAAUAAGUUAUAAUUGUUUCACUUUGUAAAUACAAUCAUUGUCACACGAUUGUUUAGCAUUGAUAAGGAUUAUGUAGUCAAACAGUUUUCACUCUGUCCUUCUGUCUGUCAACAAUUUUCGAAAACACAAAAACUCCAAAAGUAUAUAUUAAUGUUUAUUUAUGACCCCAAAUGAAAUUUUUGUUGUUUACAUAUGUAUAAUAAGCAUGAUUAACAAGGAAUAAAUUAAUUUCAACAUGAUACAAUUAAACGUUUUUCAGCAUGGA